rnacentral:rRNA from 1 species
CCAGCUCCAAUAGCGUAUAUUAAUACUGUUGCAGUUAAAACGCUCGUAGUUGAACCUAGAAUUAUUACAAGUUGUUUUACUUGAUUGUAAAAUGCUUGCUUAAUUCUUAUCUACUGGAUACUCUACUCUGUACUUAAUUGUAUGGAGUAUCGCCUAGCCAGCGGAGUUGUGGUUAAUUAGCUCCUAUCAUUGUACCAAGGUGUAAAAGCCUGAAGUAUGAUCAUGGGGUCAAGUUAAUUGAUUAUAAUGGGGUGCCAGUUAAUUUACUUUGAGUAAAUUAGAGUGUUCAAAGCAGCCUCUUGGGGCUUUGAAUAGUUUAGCAUGGGAUAAUGAAAUAGGAUUGGAUUCCUAUUUGUUGGUUUAAUGAAUCCAAUAAUGAUUAAGAGGGACAGUUGGGGGCACUCAUAUUAAGUGGUUAGCGGUGAAAUGUGUUGACCCACUUAAGAUGAACUAAAGCGAAAGCAUUUGCCAAGGAUGUUUUCAUUAAUCAAGAACGAAAGUUAAGGGAUCGAAGACGAUUAGAUACCGUCGUAGUCUUAACUAUAAACCAUGCCGACCAGGGAUAUGAGUAGUUUAUUUCUGGAUCACUUCGCGUGUUUCAGAUACUUCUCCUUAUGCACCUUGUGAGAAAUCAUAAGUUUUUGGGUUCUGGGGGAAGUAUGGUCGCAAGGCUGAAACUUAAAGGAAUUGACGGAGGGGCACCACCAGGAGUGGAGCGUGCGGCUUAAUUCGA